AAUCCUCAGCCUUACUCCAGGGGCUUCUUGCCUGUAGAGUGCUCUGGCAUUGUCUGAGGAUAGAGAAGAAAGCACAGCUCCCUCCCUAGCAAGACUGCUUUCUUGUGGGGCCUACAGUUUGGGCUGACAGC